rnacentral:rRNA from 1 species
AUUGAACGCUGGCGGCAGGCCUAACACAUGCAAGUCGAGCGGAUGAAGGGAGCUUGCUCCUGGAUUCAGCGGCGGACGGGUGAGUAAUGCCUAGGAAUCUGCCUGGUAGUGGGGGAUAACGUCCGGAAACGGGCGCUAAUACCGCAUACGUCCUGAGGGAGAAAGUGGGGAUCUUCGGACCUCACGCUAUCAGAUGAGCCUAGGUCGGAUUAGCUAGUUGGUGGGGUAAAGUCCUACCAAGGCGACGAUCCGUAACUGGUCUGAGAGGAUGAUCAGUCACACUGGAACUGAGACACGGUAAAGACUCCUACGGGAGGAAGCAGUGGGGAAUAGUGGACAAUGGGCGAAAGCCUGAUCCAGCCAUGCCGCGUGUGUGAAGAAGGUCUUCGGAUUGUAAAGCACUUUAAGUUGGGAGGAAGGGCAGUAAGUUAAUACCUUGCUGUUUUGACGUUACCAACAGAAUAAGCACCGGCUAACUUCGUG